rnacentral:rRNA from 1 species
UACGUAGGGUUCAAGCGUUAUCCGGAAUCACUGGGCGUAAAGCGCGCGUAGGCGGCUUUGCAAGUCGGGUGUGAAAUCCCCAGGCUUAACCUGGGAACUGCAUUCGAGACUGCAUUGCUAGAGUAUGGGAGAGGGAAGUGGAAUUUCCGGUGUAGCGGUGAAAUGCGUAGAUAUCGGAAGGAACAUCAGUGGCGAAAGCGACUUCCUGGACCAAUACUGACGCUCAUGUGCGAAAGCGUGGGGAGCAAACAGG